rnacentral:rRNA from 1 species
UGGAUUAGGCAUGCAAGUCGAACGGUAACGCGGGGGCAACCCUGGCGACGAGUGGCGAACGGGUGAGUAAUACAUCGGAACGUGCCCAGUAGUGGGGGAUAGCUCGGCGAAAGCCGGAUUAAUACCGCAUACGACCUACGGGUGAAAGCGGGGGAUCGCAAGACCUCGCGCUGUUGGAGCGGCCGAUGGCAGAUUAGCUUGUUGGUGAGGUAAAGGCUUACCAAGGCGACGAUCUGUAGCUGGUCUGAGAGGACGACCAGCCACACUGGGACUGAGACACGGCCCAGACUCCUACGGGAGGCAGCAGUGGGGAAUUUUGGACAAUGGGCGCAAGCCUGACCGAGCGACGCCGCGUGCGGGAUGAAGGCCCUUGGGUUGUAAACCGCUGUUAGGGGGGAGCAAGGGAAACUUGAGCGAGCCCCAAAGAAAGCACGGGCUAAGUUCGUGCCAGCAGCCGCGGUA